GCUUUGGUGGCGGAAUUGGUAGACGCUAAAUUAACUGCAUUGGAGUGUGACGGAACUCCACGUUAAAUAAUAAAACGUUUCGAGACAGGAGUGUCUGGCGAUUGCAGGUUCGAAUCCUGCCCAAAGCA
rnacentral:tRNA from 1 species